rnacentral:rRNA from 1 species
AAUACGUUCCCGGACCUUGUACACACCGCCCGUCAAGCCAUGAAAGUUUGGUGGACCUGAAGCUGGUGACCGUUAAAGGAGCCAGUUAAGGUAAAACAGAUAAUUGGGGCU